rnacentral:antisense_RNA from 1 species
AGAACAGACAGGACAUUUCACAGAGCAGGCUGCCAUGUCCCUCGGCACCUUGGGGGCUGCUGAGGCCCUGAGAAAGAACAGAAAUGGGUGCCCAGCUGGUCAACAUAUAUUUGUUACCUUGCUUUACAAUGCCUUGAGAGUGGAACCACCCGUGCGUGCUUGGCUGGUCAAGAAUCAUGUUCUAGAAAUUAUUUCCAGUGCCGAACACAGUCCUUGAGAUUUAAAAACGCUUAGGGGAUGAAUGGAAAAUAGCAGGGCCUCUUACCAGCCUGCAACACCUUUAGAGGCACUGAUGCCACGUGCACAGACCCAGCUCUGGGAAGCACAAGCUCGGCGGUGUGUGGGAAGUUGCGAGGACUGGCUUUAAAGUCACAGCAGUUUCUUGAAAGAUGAGGGGGAGGACAGUGACGCUCACAGCACAGCCACUUGUCAACUUGGGCAUGACACACACAAAGCCCAGAGCUUGGACGGCACCGCGAGGAGGCUGGGACUCACGUCAGGC